UACGUAGGGAGCGAGCGUUAUCCGGAUUUAUUGGGUGUAAAGGGUGCGUAGACGGGAGAAUAAGUUAGUUGUGAAAUCCCUCGGCCUAACUGAGGAACUGCAACUAAAACUAUUUUUCUUGAGUGCAGGAGAGGAAAGUGGAAUUCCUAGUGUAGCGGUGAAAUGCGUAGAUAUUAGGAGGAACACCAGUGGCGAAGGCGACUUUCUGGACUGUAACUGACGUUGAGGCACGAAAGUGUGGGGAGCAAACAGG
rnacentral:rRNA from 1 species